AACGAAGGGCCCGAACGUUACCCGGAAUCACUGGGCGUAAAGCGCACGCAGGCGGCCUGGUAAGUCGGGCGUGAAAUCUCCCAGCUCAACUGGGAGGCGCCGUCCGAUACUGGUGGCCUUGAGGGCGGGAGAGGGAGGUGGAAUUCCCGGUGUAGCGGUGAAAUGCGUAGAGAUCGGGAGGAACGCCAGUGGGGAAGGCGGCCCCCUGGACCGUCCCUGACGCUCAGGUGCGAAAGCUAGGGGAGCGAACGGG
rnacentral:rRNA from 1 species